AUUGAACGCUGGCGGCAUGCUUUACACAUGCCAGUCGAACGGCAGCGCGGGCUUCGGCCUGGCGGCGAGUGGCGAACGGGUGAGUAAUACAUCGGAACAUGCCCAGUAGUGGGGGAUAGCUCGGCGAAAGCCGGAUUAAUACCGCAUACGACCUGAGGGUGAAAGCGGGGGAUCUUCGGACCUCGCGCUAUUGGAGCGGCCGAUGGCAGAUUAGCUAGUUGGUGGGGUAAAGGCCUACCAAGGCGACGAUCUGUAGCUGGUCUGAGAGGACGACCAGCCACACUGGGACUGAGACACGGCCCAGACUCCUACGGGAGGCAGCAGUGGGGAAUUUUGGACAAUGGGCGAAAGCCUGAUCCAGCAAUGCCGCGUGUGUGAUGAAGGCCUUCGGGUUGUAAAGCACUUUUGGCGGGAACGAAAAGGACUGUGCCAAUACCACGGUUCGAUGACGGUACCCGCAGAAUAAGCACCGGCUAACUACGUG
rnacentral:rRNA from 1 species